rnacentral:rRNA from 1 species
AAACCAACAGGGAUUGCCUCAGUAACGGCGAGUGAAGCGGCAACAGCUCAAAUUUGAAAUCUGGCCCUGGGCCCGAGUUGUAAUUUGCAGAGGAUGCUUUGGGGACGUCCCCGGUCCAAGUGCCUUGGAACAGGCCGUCGCAGAGGGUGAGAGUCCCGUACGCGGCCGGGCGGCCCCCCGUGUAAAGCUCCUUCGACGAGUCGAGUUGUUUGGGAAUGCAGCUCUAAAUGGGAGGUAUAUUCCUUCUAAAGCUAAAUACCGGCCAGAGACCGAUAGCGCACAAGUAGAGUGAUCGAAAGAUGAAAAGCACUUUGGAAAGAGAGUUAAACAGUACGUGAAAUUGUUGAAAGGGAAGCGUUUGCAGCCAGACUUGGCGGCGGUUGCUCAACCGGGUCUCCCGGUGCAUUCUUCCGCCGCCAGGCCAGCAUCAGUUUGGGCGGCCGGACAAAGGCCUGGGGAACGUAGCUCCUCGGAGUGUUAUAGCCCCUCGCACAAUACGGCCCGCCCGGACUGAGGACAGCGUUCGCUAGGAUGCUGGCGUAAUGGCGGCCAACGGC